AGCAUGGUGUAAUGGUUUAAGCAAUGGACUAUGAUUCUGGAGUCCAGGGUUCGAAUCCCUGCUUGGCCA